UGGGGAAUAUUGGACAAUGGGGGCAACCCUGAUCCAGCGACGCCGCGUGUGUGAAGAAGGCCUGCGGGUUGUAAAGCACUUUUAGUGGGGAUGAAAAGCCUGAGGCUAAUACCUUCGGGUCUUGACCUAACCCACAGAAAAAGCACCGGCUAACUCUGUGCCAGCAGCCGCGGUAAUACAGAGGGUGCAAGCGUUAAUCGGAAUUACUGGGCGUAAAGCGUGCGUAGACGGUCAUGUAAGUCGGAUGUGAAAGCCCCGGGCUUAACCUGGGAAUGGCAUUCGAAACUGCAUAGCUAGGGUGCGGAAGAGGGAAGCGGAAUUUCGGGUGUAGCGGUGAAAUGCGUAGAUAUCCGAAGGAACAUCAGUGGCGAAAGCGGCUUCCUGGUCCAGCACCGACGUUCAGGCACGAAAGCGUGGGGAGCAAACAGG
rnacentral:rRNA from 1 species